AUGGCUCCCCCUACGCCGUCCUCGUCUCCGAUGCCGGUUAUGCACGCACGGAUGAGGCUGAUAAUCCAGGCAGCAGCACUGAUUAGUGUGAUUCGGGCAUGGGUCAUGUUCAUGCACCAGAGAGCUGUUCGUCGUGCUGGGAGACCUUUGAUCCGCUAUGGCCCAUUGUUUCCCCGGGAACAGGAGAGGAUCCAAAAUCUGAACUACAUCUACAACUGCAAUGACGUCGAGACUCUGUGGAUGCUUCGAAUGAAAAGAGCACCAUUUGCCAGGCUUGUCGAGACCUUCAGGAGCAGGGGGCUGCUACAAGAUAGCAUCAACACCAGUGUGAAAGAGCAAGUGCCAUGUUCCUACAUGUUGUUGGCCAUAACCAGAGGUUUAGAGUCAUUCACAACACGUUCAGGAGAUCAAUGGAGACCAUCUCUAGGUACUUCAUGCAAGUUCUUUUUGCUAUUGGGGAGCUUAGAGGAGAGAUGA
rnacentral:rRNA from 1 species